UCAGGUGAUCCUCCUGCCUUGGCCUCCCAAAGUACUGGGAUUACAGGCAUGAGCCACUGUGCCCGGCUGAACAUUCAAUUAAAUUUGAAUUUAAGUAAGAUAAAUAAUUUUUUACUAUAAGUACAUGCCAUGCAAUAUAUGGAACAUAUACUAAAAAUGUAUCCAUUGUUUGUCUAAAACUCAAAUGUAACUGUGGAUCCUGCAUUUUAAUUAGCUAAAUCUGGCAAGCUUGUAUUUUGCUAAUAAUAAGUAAGGAAGCCAGGGUUCUCCAGUUUGCAUAACAAACUGACCUUUUCAGUUGACUAGAAAACAGAUAUUAAGUAAAUGCAGCCAAACUGAAGAAGCCAGAGCACCGGAGAUCUGAAAUGAGUUGAAAGAACAGAAGGAGAGGGUCAGAAAUGGGCCUAGCCAGUGAUGAUGGAGCUACGGCCAGUGACGUAGGGUCUAUUCCUAACAUAGCCAGCAUCCUACAGAUACUACAGUUUGGUUUUGUUGCUGAACAGAAUCCAUCUCAGAUCACAUGCACACCUUUAUUUAACAUUUUGGGCAGCUACAAAUGAAGUGGAAAGGAGCCAAAUGCUAUGGACUGUCUCUACAGUGCUGACUAAUUCCAUUUUUGGCUUGGUGCUAGUUCACUUUGAGAUUCACCUGUAAUCUGGAAUUUUAUUUUUGCUAACUCUUGGCAUAGCCAACUUGUUUGUUUGUUUAAUACUCAUUUUCAUAUUAAAACUUCCUUUUGGAAAACUUCAACUGCUCAGAGAAGAAAAGGAUGCUUCCCAUACCGAGGACUGGCUACAUAAUUUGUGGAACUCAGUGCAAAAUGAAAAUGCCACACUCUUUAUUCAAGAACUGUUAAAGCCAGGCACGGUGGCUUGCAUCUGUAAACCCAGCUACUCGAGAGGCUGAGACAGGAGGAUCGCUUGAGUCCAGGAGUUCCAGACCAGCCUGGACAACAUAUAUAUAUGCUGCCAAAGUGAGCACAAAGAAAAGAAAAGAAAAGAAGAAUUUCCAGAAGGAGACAUGAAACUGAACAUGGGGUCCAUUUAAGUGCAGGACUCUGUGCAGCAACACAGAUCGUACUCUCAUAGAGCCAACUCUGACCAUACCUCAAUCACAAAUAGAGAGAUAAAUCUGUAUACUUAGAGAAAGGGACUGUGAUGGGAGAAGUUUGGACUCAUUUCAGAACUCACAAGGACAGAAGGACCUGGGCAGAGAGGGGAAUACAGGUUUUCAUCUACCUAUAUAAUGACUCAUGAUUCAAAGAGAAGACAGAUGACCAUUUGGCAGAGCUGCAUUGCAGAUAUUCAAUGAAUGCCAUCCUGAUAGUUUAACGAAAUCUGAUGAAUGCCAUCCUGAUGAAUGUCAUCCUCAUAGUUUAACAAAAUCUUCAAGUUUCUGAUGAAUGUUCAAGUGUGCUUUGCAAUGAUAUUUAUAACCAAAGUGUGUUAUCACCAAAAAGAGUGUGCUGAUUUUGGUAGUUCAAAACAACAUAAGAUAAAUUUUAAAAUAUACAAUGAAGAAAUUGAGAUUGACAAAUCAAUUAUCCAUCAGAGGGAAUUUGGCAUAUAAUAACUUUCCAAGGAGUAGUUUCAACCAAAGGCCAAAGGCAUGCUACCCAAGAAAUCAGCAUUUCUCAGCCUCUCCAGCAACCUACUUUCAUUGUAGCAUGCACUAUGUUAGAAGGUGGUGCUCAAAAGAAGAGGUGGAAGCAUCUUUAGAAUAGUUUGCUGUGACUCCAGAGAAAUAGCAAAAUUAUUCUCUAACAAGAGUUUUGGGAACCUUUUUAAAACAUGGCUGCACAUUUUCCCUAAAUGUUUCUCCAAUGGUGUAAAAAUACAGGAAUUCCUAAUAAGAAUCCAGAGUGACACUGUCUUUCAUUUCCUGUUCAAUCAUAAGACCAGAGAAUUUUUUUUCUGGUUCCACAUGUGGAGGUUGGGAUAAAAUUCAGUUGUAACAUCCAUGCCCUCAAAGUCAUGGAAAUGCCUUUGAAAUAAAUGUGUUUAUAUGCUGAAAACUUAAAGGCCCUUUGGGAAAAACUCCAGGAAAAGAAACACCCAGGGACACUUCCCCGUCCCAGUUAAUACCUAAGUACAUGCCUUUGAUGUCUCAGAGUAAGGAAGACAGUGUAUGUCCGGAAUUAAUCUCUCUCCUAAAGACAACGUGUGCAUUUACAAACUUCUUACCUGACAUUUCUGCUGGAAUGGCCCAUCAAACCCUGUACUUUAAAAACUAAAGUCCCAAGACCAGGCACAGUGGCUCACACCUGUAAUCCCAGCACUUCGGGAGGCCAAGGCAGGAGGAUUGCUUGAGCCCAGGAGUUCAAGACCAGAUUGGGCAACAACCUGAUG